CCUUGCAUUGUCAUCUGCACAAUCGUCAGCUUGUCCACCUUGUGUGUCAUGUUCAUGUGCACCAGCCUCAGAUAAGCCGUCCACAACAUCGAAAACUCCAAAAGAGGGUGUAACGACCACACAUGGAGAAGAGUUAGACCUAAAUGUUUUGGUGAUGUCGAUAACUUGUGCAGUACUUGCUGCAAUUGUAGUAAUCCAGUUUGUGUGGAUAUGCACUGGCAAAUGCCACAAAAACAGAAACAAAGGUGAAGCAGAACAAGUGCAAAAUGAUGCAGAGCAGUUCCCUCUUCAGCGUCGUGGAUCAGAAGAAGACACAUGAGAAGUAUCAGCCAUACAAGAUUAGAGCAGCGUUUAUGUAGUUUAUUAUUAUAAAAAGUUUAUGCAAUAUCUCAUGUUUUCCUUAACUUAGGUCUUUGUUGUGCUUGUGUUCUCUAAAUGGACAUUGUGUUGUAAAAGCACUUUCGCUUAGGACAUUAGUUUAUAGACAGUUCUAUUGAAGCAUCAAUUAUAGACCUUAUGACGAGGCUGAAUUUCAACAUUAUGAAUACUCAGCAGGGUAUUUUGAAUUGAAAACAUAUUAUCAUGCAAGAGCGAACACCCUCGCUUGUCAAACGGGUCUUGCCUACAAGUUUUGGAAAUGUAAAUUAUUUAUACUCAUUUAGAUUCGUGCUUUUCAAAAAGAAAACCAAACUUUCGAAGGUAAUUCCUGGAUAAAGUGUGUGAUGCAGGCAUAGAAUGCUUUCACUUUCAUCAUGUGGUAUAGAUAUUCACGACUAUAUAUUUUCUUAUUUGUUCUAAUAAACUGUCCAUUUUUGCAAUUU